rnacentral:rRNA from 1 species
UACGUAGGGCGCGAGCGUUGUCCGGAUUUAUUGGGCGUAAAGAGCUCGUAGGCGGCUUGUCGCGUCGGCUGUGAAAACCCGCGGCUCAACUGCGGGCCUGCAGCCGAUACGGGCAGGCUAGAGUUCGGUAGGGGAGACUGGAAUUCCUGGUGUAGCGGUGAAAUGCGCAGAUAUCAGGAGGAACACCAAUGGCGAAGGCAGCUCGCUGGAACGGUACUGACGCUGAGGCGCGAAAGCGUGGGGAGCGAACAGG